UACACAUGUGCCAACGCGUGCCAAAAAAGCAUGGCUUUUUGAAAAUGGCCACAUCAGGUCUGCCUUGGAAUUUGGCUGUGACUGGGAUUCUGACAGAGUAAUGGAGGCAAUAAAAACAGCCUUCCAGCCAGCUGUGGAGGGAUGCAGGUUAGAAAUACUGCUGCCAUGCUACAACAAACUUGUUGAGCCAUCCCUUACCCCCACACAGAGUUUGAAUGGAGACCUUGUGAAAAAACUGUUUCAUCAGAAGUCCAUUUAUGUCAGGCCUGACAAGAUCAUUUUAAGUGAGGAAAAAGAAUCUUCAGUUUCUGACGGAGAAAGCAGCUUUACAAAUGACCCUGGUUUGGCAGAAAUAUCUCACACGG